CGGGGUGUGGCGCAGUCUGGUAGCGCGCUCGCUUUGGGAGCGAGAGGUUCAUCGGUUCGAAUCCGUUCACCCCGA
rnacentral:tRNA from 1 species